rnacentral:sRNA from 1 species
GCCAGGCAUGGUGGCACAUGCCUGUAAUCCCAGUGGCUCAGGAGGCUGAGGUAGGAGGAUGGCGAGUUCAAAGCCAGCCUCAGCAAAAGCAAGGUGCUAACCAACUCAGUGAGACCCUGUCUCUA